CUCUCAACGAUGGAUGCCUCGGCUCGAGAAUCGAUGAAGGACGCAGCGAAGUGCGAUAAGCACUGCGAUUUGUAGAAUUCCGUGAACCAGUAGAAAUCUCAACGCAUACUGCACAAAGGGGAUUUAUCCUCUUUGUACAUACAUAUCAGUGUCGCUC
rnacentral:rRNA from 1 species